UACGGCUAUCUCACGUUGGAACACUGGUUCUCGUACGAUAACCGAAGUUAAGCAACGUCUAACCUCGUAAGUACCUAGAUGGGUGACCGCUUGAGAAUAUCAGGUGCUAU